rnacentral:pre_miRNA from 1 species
UUUCUACACAGGUUGGGAUCGGUUGCAAUGCUGUGUUGAGUCUGUGGUAUUGCACUUGUCCCGGCCUGUUGAGGUUGGUGGGGCAAG